rnacentral:rRNA from 1 species
AAAUGAAUAGACGGGGACCCGCACAAGCGGUGGAGCAUGUGGUUUAAUUCGAAGCAACGCGAAGAACCUUACCAGAUCUUGACAUCCCAUUGACCGGUUCGUAAUGGAACCUUUCCUUCGGGACAAUGGAGACAGGUGGUGCAUGGUUGUCGUCAGCUCGUGUCGUGAGAUGUUAGGUUAAGUCCUGCAACGAGCGCAACCCCUAUCCUUAGUAGCCAGCAGUUCGGCUGGGCACUCUAGGGAGACUGCCAGGGAUAACCUGGAGGAAGGCGGGGAUGACGUCAAAUCAUCAUGCCCCUUAUGAUCUGGGCUACACACGUGCUACAAUGGUGACAACAAAGGGAAGCGAACCCGCGAGGGGAAGCAAAUCUCAUAAAAGUCAUCCCAGUUCGGAUUGUAGUCUGCAACUCGACUACAUGAAGCUGGAAUCGCUAGUAAUCGUGGAUCAGAAUGCCACGGUGAAUACGUUCCCGGGUCUUGUACACACCGCCCGU